rnacentral:rRNA from 1 species
GAUGAACGCUGGCGGCGUGCUUAACACAUGCAAGUCGAACGAUUAAAGCCCCUUCGGGGGUGUAUAGAGUGGCGAACGGGUGAGUAACACGUGGGCAAUCUGCCCCUCACUUCGGGAUAACUCAGGGAAACUUGAGCUAAUACCGGAUACUCCGAACUGAUCGCAUGGUCGGUUCGGGAAAGCUCCGACGGUGAGGGAUGAGCCCGCGGCCCAUUAGCUUGUUGGUAGGGUAACGGCCUACCAAGGCGACGAUGGGUAGCCGAGCUGAGAGGCUGAUCGGCCACACUGGGACUGAGACACGGCCCAGACUCCUACGGGAGGCAGCAGUGGGGAAUUUUGCGCAAUGGGCGAAAGCUUGACGCAGCAACGCCGCGUGCGGGAUGAAGGCUCUCGGGUCGUAAACCGCUUUCAGCAGGGAUGAAAUUGACAGUACCUGCAGAAGAAGCCCCGGCUAAAUACGUGCCAGCCGCCGCCGUAACAC